GUAGGGGGCGAGCGUUGUCCGGAUUCAUUGGGCGUAAAGCGCGUGUAGGCGGCCAGGUAGGUCGGAUGUGAAAACUGGAGGCUCAACCUCCAGCUGUCAUCCGAAACCAUCUGGCUAGAGUCCGGAAGAGGAGAGUGGAAUUCCUGGUGUAGCGGUGAAAUGCGCAGAUAUCAGGAAGAACACCUAUGGCGAAGGCAGCUCUCUGGGACGGUACUGACGCUGAGACGCGAAAGCGUGGGGAGCGAACAGGAUUAGAUACCCUGGUAGUCCACGCCGUAAACGAUGGGCGCUAGGUGUGGGCGGUGUCGACUCCGUCCGUGCCGAAGCUAACGCAUUAAGCGCCCCGCCUGGGGAGUACGGCCGCAAGGCUAAA
rnacentral:rRNA from 1 species